AGAGUUUGAUCCUGGCUCAAGAUGAACGCUGGCGGCGUGCUUAACACAUGCAAGUCGAACGGACCUGUACUGAAACCUAGUGAUUUACAGGUUAGUGGCGGACGGGUGAGUAACGCGUGGAAAACCUGCCGUAUACUGGGGGAUAACACUUAGAAAUAGGUGCUAAUACCGCAUAAGCGCACAGACCCGCAUGGGACAGUGUGAAAAACAAAAAGUUAAAGCUUUUUAUGGUAUACGAUGGUUCCGCGUCUGAUUAGCUUGUUGGCGGGGUAACGGCCCACCAAGGCGACGAUCAGUAGCCGGCCUGAGAGGGUGGACGGCCACAUUGGGACUGAGACACGGCCCGGACUCCUACGGGAGGCAGCAGUGGGGAAUAUUGCACAAUGGGGGGAACCCUGAUGCAGCGACGCCGCGUGAGUGAAGAAGUAUUUCGGUAUGUAAAGCUCUAUCAGCAGGGAAGAAAAUGACGGUACCUGACUAAGAAGCCCCGGCUAACUACGUGCCAGCAGCCGCGGUAAUACGUAGGGGGCAAGCGUUAUCCGGAUUUACUGGGUGUAAAGGGAGCGCAGACGGCUGUGCAAGUCUGGAGUGAAAGGCGGGGGCCCAACCCCCGGACUGCUCUGGAAACUGUAAAGCUGGAGUGCAGGAGAGGUAAGCGGAAUUCCUAGUGUAGCGGUGAAAUGCGUAGAUAUUAGGAGGAACACCGGUGGCGAAGGCGGCCUGCUGGACGACGACUGACGCUGAGGCUCGAAAGCGUGGGGAGCAAACAGGAUUAGAUACCCUGGUAGUCCACGCCGUAAACGAUGAAUACCAGGUGUCGGCGGGCACGGCCCGCCGGUGUCGCCGCAAACGCAGUCAGUAUUUCUCUUGGGGAGUACGGUUCGCAAGAAUUAAACUCAAAGGGAAUUGACGGGGACCCGCACAAGCGGUGGAGCAUGUGGUUUAUUUUGAAGCAACGCGAAGAACCUUACCAGGCCUUGACAUCCUGAUGGCCGGGCAAGCAAUGUGCCCUCCCUUCGGGGCAUCAGUGACAGGUGGUGCAUGGUUGUCGUCAGCUCGUGUCGUGAGAUGUUGGGUUAAGUCCCGCAACGAGCGCAACCCAUGUCCACAGUAGCCAGCGCCACGGGCGGGCACUCUGUGGAGACUGCCGGGGACAACCCGGAGGAAGGCGGGGACGACGUCAAAUCAUCAUGCCCCUUAUGGCCUGGGCUACACACGUGCUACAAUGUCGCAGACAGAGGGAUGCGAUGCCGCGAGGCGGAGCGGACCCCAGAAAUGGCGCCCCAGUUCGGACUGCAGCCUGCAACCCGGCUGCACGAAGCCGGAAUCGCUAGUAAUCGCGGAUCAGAAUGCCGCGGUGAAUACGUUCCCGGGUCUUGCACUCACCGCCCGUCA
rnacentral:rRNA from 1 species